rnacentral:rRNA from 1 species
UACGGAGGGGGCUAGCGUUGUUCGGAAUUACUGGGCGUAAAGCGCGCGUAGGCGGCUUGUAAGUUAGAGGUGAAAGCCCGGAGCUCAACUCCGGAACUGCCUUUAAGACUGCAUCGCUAGAAUUGUGGAGAGGUAAGUGGAAUUCCGAGUGGUAGAGGUGAAAUUCGUAAGAUAUUCGGGAAGAAACACCAGUGGCGAAGG